UCCCUGGUAGUAUAUCGGUUAGUACACGCGCCUGUCAUUUGGCGUAGCGGUUAACGCCCGCGCGAAAGCGGGGUUCGACUCCCCGCCAGGGAG